GUGACGAGGCUUACAAGGUCUGACGCGUGAAGACGGCUGAGCAACUGA
rnacentral:snoRNA from 2 species